rnacentral:rRNA from 1 species
GUAGGUGGCAAGCGUUGUCCGGAAUUAUUGGGCGUAAAGCGCGCGCAGGUGGUUCUUUAAGUCUGAUGUGAAAGCCCCCGGCUCAACCGGGGAGGGUCAUUGGAAACUGGGGAACUUGAGUGCAGGAGAGGAAAGUGGAAUUCCACGUGUAGCGGUGAAAUGCGUAGAUAUGUGGAGGAACACCAGUGGCGAAGGCGACUUUCUGGCCUGUAACUGACACUGAGGCGCGAAAGCGUGGGGAGCAAACAGGGAUUAGAUACCCUGGUAGUCCACGCCGUAAACGAUGAGUGCUAAGUGUUGGGGGGGGUUUCCGCCCCCGUCAGUGCUGCAGCUAACGCAUUAAGCACUCCGCCCCGGGGAUACGGUCGCAAGACUG